rnacentral:tRNA from 1 species
GCCGGAGUGGUGGAAUUGGUAGACACAGGGGACUUAAAAUCCCCUGGCCCUUCGGGGCCGUGCCGGUUCAAGUCCGGCCUCCGGCA